rnacentral:rRNA from 1 species
AGAACGAACGCUGGCGGCAGGCCUCAAACAUGCAAGUCUAGGGGAUGUAGCAAUACAUCACCGGCGGACGGGUGCGUAACACGUGGGAAUAUACCUUUCGGUACGGAACAACUGCGGGAAACUGCAGCUAAUACCGUAUACGUCCUUACGGAGAAAGAUUUAUCGCCGAAGGAUUAGCCCGCGUUCGAUUAGCUAGUUGGUGAGGUAAUGGCUCACCAAGGCGACGAUCGAUAGCUGUUCUGAGAGGAAGAUCAGCCACACUGGGACUGAGACACGGCCCAGACUCCUACGGGAGGCAGCAGUUGGGAAUCUUGGACAAUGGGGGAAACCCUGAUCCAGCCAUGCCGCGUGAGUGAUGAAGGCCUUCGGGUUGUAAGCUCUUUUACCCGGGAAGAUAAUGACUGUACCGGGAGAAUAGCUCCGGCUAACUUCGUGCCAGCAGCCGC